CACGUAGGGGGCAAGCGUUGUCCGGAUUUAUUGGGCGUAAAGAGCUCGUAGGUGGUUCGGUAAGUCGGGUGUUAAACCCCCAGGCUCAACCUGGGGACGCCACUCGAUACUGCUGUGACUAGAGUCCGGUAGGGGAGCGUGGAAUUCCUGGUGUAGCGGUGAAAUGCGCAGAUAUCAGGAGGAACACCCGCGGCGAAGGCGGCGCUCUGGGCCGGUACUGACACUGAGGAGCGAAAGCGUGGGUAGCAAACAGG
rnacentral:rRNA from 1 species